rnacentral:rRNA from 1 species
UACGUAGGGGGCGAGCGUUUGUCCGGAAUUACUGGGCGUAAAGGGCGCCUAGGCGGUUUUUAAGUCCGCUGUGAAAGACCGAGGCUCAACCUCGGGAUGUCAGCGGAGACUGGAAGACUGGAGUGUCGGAGAGGAGUGCGGAAUUCCUGGUGUAGCGGUGGAAUGCGUAGAUAUCAGGAGGAACACCGAUGGCGAAGGCAGCACGUCUGGCCGAAGACUGACGCUGAAGCGCGAAAGCUGGGGGAGCGAACGGG